GAGCCAUUAGGAGCAUCUGACUUUUAAUCAGAGGGUCAGAGGUUCGAAUCCUCUAUGGCUCACCA
rnacentral:tRNA from 1 species